UACGUAGGGUGCAAGCGUUAUCCGGAAUUAUUGGGCGUAAAGAGCUCGUAGGCGGUUUGUCGCGUCUGCCGUGAAAGUCCUGGGCUUAACCUGGGGACUGCAUUUGAUACUGGAUUGCUUGAAUGCAGGAGAGGAUAGCGGAAUUCCCAGUGUAGAGGUGAAAUUCGUAGAUAUUGGGAAGAACACCGGUGGCGAAGGCGGCUAUCUGGACUGUGAUUGACGCUGAGGCGCGAAAGCGUGGGGAGCAAACAGG
rnacentral:rRNA from 1 species